AUCAUUUUUCCGCAUUUUGAUCAGGAUCAAGUGUAGUAUCUAUUCUAAUCAAUUUAACAUUGAUUUGUUCUCUAAGUGACAGUGUUAUAUCAAGCAAAUUUUUUUUAGAGCAACGAGCUGUGAUAGGAGUUCGCUCUUUCGGCUUCAUAUACCAACCUGAUGUUGUAGUAUUUUUUUGUUCUAGAAAUUUUUUU